rnacentral:rRNA from 1 species
AAAAGAGUAUAAAAUUUAGGUAGUAUUAGAUGGCUUGAAACUUAAAAAUUUUGGCGGUGUUCUAAUCUUAUUAGAGGAACCUGUUUUAUAAUCGACAAUACACGACAGAUCUUACUUAAGUUUAGUUUGUAUAUCGUUGUGAUAAUAAUAUUUUAUAAUUAUUAUUGGGAGUAAUUUUAUUUUUGAUAUCAGAUCAAGGUUCAGCUUAUAUUUAAGUAAAAAAUGGGUUACAAUAUAAAAAUAUAUUUACGGAGUUCUAUCCUUAUAGGGAUAGAUAAAGGAGGAUUUAAAAGUAUUUCUUGAGUAAUAUGUUAGAUUGAAUUAGCUCUAGAAUAUGC